UUUCCCAUUUGACUAGCACAUUUUCUCUUGUGAUAGAUUUUAGUGUCUAUGCUUAUGGGAUAGAUGAAAGUUGCCAUGAUCUGAAGAGGGAGGGCUUUUCCGUGCCCUCCUCCUAUAUGAAAUGGCUGAACAGAAGGAA
ensembl:snoRNA